rnacentral:rRNA from 1 species
GAUACGGCGUCGAGCGGCGGACGGGUGAGUAAUGCCUAGGAAAUUGCCCUGGUGUGGGGGAUAACCAUUGGAAACGAUGGCUAAUACCGCAUAAUACCUACGGGUCAAAGAGGGGGACCUUCGGGCCUCUCGCGUCAGGAUAUGCCUAGGUGGGAUUAGCUAGUUGGUGAGGUAAUGGCUCACCAAGGCGACGAUCCCUAGCUGGUCUGAGAGGAUGAUCAGCCACACUGGAACUGAGACACGGUCCAGACUCCUACGGGAGGCAGCAGUGGGGAAUAUUGCACAAUGGGCGCAAGCCUGAUGCAGCCAUGCCGCGUGUGUGAAGAAGGCCUUCGGGUUGUAAAGCACUUUCAGUCGUGAGGAAGGUAGUGUAGUUAAUAGCUGCAUUAUUUGACGUUAGCGACAGAAGAAGCACCGGCUAACUCCGUGCCAGCAGCCGCGGUAAUACGGAGGGUGCGAGCGUUAAUCGGAAUUACUGGGCGUAAAGCGCAUGCAGGUGGUUUGUUAAGUCAGAUGUGAAAGCCCGGGGCUCAACCUCGGAAUAGCAUUUGAAACUGGCAGACUAGAGUACUGUAGAGGGGGGUAGAAUUUCAGGUGUAGCGGUGAAAUGCGUAGAGAUCUGAAGGAAUACCGGUGGCGAAGGCGGCCCCCUGGACAGAUACUGACACUCAGAUGCGAAAGCGUGGGGAGCAAACAGGAUUAGAUACCCUGGUAGUCCACGCCGUAAACGAUGUCUACUUGGAGGUUGUGGCCUUGAGCCGUGGCUUUCGGAGCUAACGCGUUAAGUAGACCGCCUGGGGAGUACGGUCGCAAGAUUAAAACUCAAAUGAAUUGACGGGGGCCCGCACAAGCGGUGGAGCAUGUGGUUUA